UACGUAGGGUGCGAGCGUUGUCCGGAAUUAUUGGGCGUAAAGAGCUCGUAGGCGGUGUGUCACGUCGGCCGUGAAAACCUGCAGCUUAACUGUGGGCGUGCGGUCGAUACGGGCAUCACUGGAGUUCGGCAGGGGAGACUGGAAUUCCUGGUGUAGCGGUGAAAUGCGCAGAUAUCAGGAGGAACACCGGUGGCGAAGGCGGUUCUCUGGGCAUUACCUGACGCUGGAGGAGCGAAAGCGUGGGGAGCAAACAGG
rnacentral:rRNA from 1 species